GCCGCGCCGGGAUGCGGCACCCGCCGUCCCCUCUCCCUCCCCUCGCCCCCUCCUCCUCCUAUCGCCACUCUCGCCCCCUCCUCCUGUCGCGACUCUCGCCAUGGGCUGGCAAGCCGAGCGCGACAAAGUGGUGAUCAACGUCGGCGGCGUCCGCCAUGAGACGUACCGCAGCACCCUGCAGACGCUGCCCGGCACCCGCCUGGCCGGGCUGGCCGAGCCGGGCGCCGCCGCCCGCUUCGACUACGACGCCGGAGCGGGCGAAUUCUUUUUCGACCGCCACCCCGCCGUGUUCGCCUACGUGCUCAACUAUUACCGCACCGGCAAGCUGCACUGCCCGGCCGAUGUGUGCGGGCCGCUGUUCGAGGAGGAGCUCGCCUUCUGGGGCAUCGACGAGACGGACGUGGAGGCGUGCUGCUGGAUGAAUUACCGGCAGCACCGCGAUGCCGAGGAGGCCCUGGACAGCUUCGAGAGCCCCGAGGGGCCCGGCCCGCCCGAGCCGGCCGAGCCCAAGCGGCUGUGCCUGGAGGAGGGGCGGCCGGCCGGGUGGUGGAGGAGAUGGAGACCGCGGCUCUGGGCGCUCUUCGAGGAUCCCUACUCGUCCAGGAUGGCCAGGUACGUCGCCUUCGCCUCCCUCUUCUUCAUCCUCAUCUCCAUCACCACCUUCUGCCUGGAGACGCACGAGGCCUUCAACCGCGUCAUCAACAAGACCGAGACGGUGACCACGGGCAACCAGACGGGCACGCAGGUGGCCGUGGAGGUGGAGACCGAGCCCUUCCUCACCUACGUGGAGGGGCUCUGCGUGGUCUGGUUCACCUUCGAGUUCCUCAUGCGCGUCAGCUUCUGCCCGGACAAGCGCGACUUCAUCAAGAGCAGCCUCAACAUCAUCGACUUCGUGGCCAUUUUGCCGUUUUAUUUGGAGGUUGGGUUGAGAGGUUUGAGCUCUAAAGCGGCCAAGGAUGUGUUGGGAUUUCUCAGGGUGGUGAGGUUUGUCAGGAUCCUGCGGAUUUUCAAGCUGACGCGCCACUUCGUGGGGCUGCGCGUGCUGGGCCACACUUUACGCGCCAGCACCAACGAGUUCCUCCUCCUCGUCAUCUUCCUCGCCUUGGGGGUGCUGAUCUUCGCCACCAUGAUCUACUACGCCGAGCGCAUCGGCGCCGACCCCGACGACGUCACCGGCAGCCGCCACACCUACUUCAAGAACAUCCCCAUCGGGUUCUGGUGGGCCGUUGUCACCAUGACCACGCUGGGUUACGGUGACAUGUACCCCAUGACGUGGUCGGGGAUGUUGGUGGGCGCUCUCUGCGCCCUGGCCGGCGUCCUCACCAUCGCCAUGCCCGUCCCCGUCAUCGUCAACAACUUUGGCAUGUACUACUCGCUGGCCAUGGCCAAGCAGAAGCUGCCCAAGAAGAAGAACAAACACAUCCCCAGGCCGCCCCAGCCGGGCUCCCCCGGGUACGGAUCGCCGGGCUCGGGGCCCAACGCGGCUCCCGGGAGUCCCAGGGGGGCCAGGAGGGUCCCGGCCUGCCCGCUGGCGCAGGAGGAGGUGGUGGAGAUCAACAGGGCUGAGUCCCGUCCCAACGGCGAGGCGGGCCGGGCAGCGCUGGCUCAGGAGGAUUGUCCCCCCAUCGAGCAGCCCCUGUCCCCCGAGGAGCGAGGGGGAGGAGCCCCCCAGAACCCCCCCGGGGCGGGGAGCCGGGAACGCUGCGGCAGGGACAGAGCCUGCUUCUUGUUGGGACCCGAAUAUACACCCCAAACUGAGGGGGGGCUCAGGAAAGGUGGGUGAGAGACCCCCAAAAUCACCCCAAAAUCCCAAAUCCCCACAGCAGGGACAGAGCUGCUUCCUUCUGGGACCCGAAUAUACACCCCAGAGUGAGGGGGGGCUGAGGAAAGCGCUCGUCACCGCCUGAGACCCCCGAGAGCGCCGCAGGCUACGAGAAGUCGCGGAGCCUCAACAGCAUCACGGGGG